GGGAGCAGUAGCCUUCCUCUCAGGGAUUAGUCUGGGAACAAAACGGGGCAAACAGGAUCACCAUCCUGCCAUCCUCUUGCCCUGGGGAACAUGCAGAUCAGAUCAGCAUAGCCCAGCGCUUCAAGAACACCACAGCGGAGUACAAAGAAGAGGAGGAGAGGCUGCCCCCAUGUGAUGCAAGGAUGGAAAGGCACAGGAAGCACAAGGUUCUGGGGGAAAGCAGGUACCUUGGACAUCCAAAAGCAAAUCCAGCUAGUAUAAGCCAGGUGGGGAAAGGCCCAUGUACGUACGCCAACUUUCUCAUCUAUGAGAUGCCUGGCCACCUCGAUCUGCUGAGGAGCACCCCUGAUGGCAGAAGAUUCCGUUCUUAGAGCAGAGCUGGCCCUGAGACUGUGCUCUGGUUUAGGCAACUUACCUACAGACUGUCGCUUUCUUCUGCUUACGGCACAACGGCCCUGACAAAACCCAGGGUUUCUUGCUGGCAACACUAGCUACCUGGAUGACCGUUUGGAGCUGGACUGAAGCCUCUGUGGCCAAGGGUCCCACAGAAGGGGCUGGGCCCAAGGCCCUUGGAUCUGCUGGCCACUGAACUCAUUCCUGCCUUGAAGUCCACCCAGGAAAGGCUGAUCCUUCUCAGUGUGAGACUGGAGACCUGCUGGCUCUGCCAUGCACAAUGGAGGCCUUCAGCCUGGAUGGGGUUGCCCUUCCGUCACAGGUCAAAUGGGCGGCUACAGCCCCAACAAUGCCUGGAGCCCACUCUGGCCUUCAAUAUCACACCCUGUUCCUUCUCAGGUCCCUCUGCCACAGUGGGGGGAUGGGUCCAGACAGAAGGAGUAGAGAGGGGAGGAGUCCGGACACAGGGCCUAGAUAGAAGAGGGUGAUGGAAAUUUAGUUGUUCUCUCUGAAAACCGGCAAGUCUCAGUCUCUUAAUGAAAUGUGUGUAACAAAAAGUCCACCAGCCAGUGAACAAUGAUCCAAUUCUUCUGAAAUUUCACAGACCUUACAGACCUAUUCAGUCAACUCUGUGGGAAUAGAGUAUAGCCAGAAUACAAGGAAAACC